GUGGGGAAUCUUGCGCAAUGGGCGAAAGCCUGACGCAGCCAUGCCGCGUGAAUGAUGAAGGUCUUAGGAUUGUAAAAUUCUUUCACCGGGGACGAUAAUGACGGUACCCGGAGAAGAAGCUCCGGCUAACUUCGUGCCAGCAGCCGCGGUAAUACGAAGGUGGCUAGCGUUGCUCGGAAUUACUGGGCGUAAAGGGAGCGUAGGCGGACAGCUUAGUCAGAGGUGAAAGCCCAGGGCUCAACCUUGGAAUUGCCUUUGAUACUGGCUGUCUUGAGUUUGGGAGAGGUGAGUGGAACUCCGAGUGUAGAGGUGAAAUUCGUAGAUAGUCGGAAGAACACCAGUGGCGAAGGCGACUCACUGGCCCAAUACUGACGCUGAGGCGCGAAAGCGUGGGGAGCAAACAGGAUUAGAAACCCGGGUAGUCC
rnacentral:rRNA from 1 species